rnacentral:rRNA from 1 species
GUCUUUUUGGUUAUUUAAUAUAAAGUCUGACCUGCCCACUGAAAUUAUUUUAAAGGGCCGCAGUAUUUUGACUGUGCAAAGGUAGCAUAAUCAUUAGUCUUUUUAUUGAAGGCUGGUAUGAAUGGUUGGAUGAGGUACAAGCUGUGUCAUAAAAAUUAAUAUUUGAAUUUACCUUUUUAGUCAAAAGGCUAAAAUAAAAUUAAAAGACGAGAAGACCCUAUAGAGCUUUAUAUAAUUUAUAUUUAAAUUAUUAAGAUUUUUUAAAUUUAAUUAUUUUAUUAUAUUUUGUUGGGGUGACAAUAAAAUUUAUAAAACUUUUAUUUUUUAUUUACAUUAAUAUAUGUUUAUAUGAUCCAGUUUUAUUGAUUAUAAAUUUAAGUUACCUUAGGGAUAACAGCGUAAUUUUUUUUGAGAGUUCUUAUCGACAAAAAAGAUUGCGACCUCGAUGUUGGAUUAAGAGUAAUUUUGGGUGUAGAAGUUCAAAGUUUAAGUCUGUUCGACUUUUAAAUUCUUACAU